rnacentral:rRNA from 1 species
AUGAAGGAGCUGGGUCUGCGAGAGGAAGACCUGGACGACGUAGUGUUCGAUGAGAAGGAUGCACCCCCGGUGGCGGCGAGAUGGGUUGCCCUAACUAGGGUUAACACCAACAAGACCUAUAGCAGGACAUGGUUCUACCGCAACAUGAGGGCCUCCUGGGAUAUUGCACAGGAAGCAAAAUUCAAGCCUUUGGAGGAUAACUUGUACAAGGUGCAAUUUUCUUGUUUGGGGGACUGGGAGAGGGUCAUGCAUGAGGGGCCCUGGAAUUUACGGGAGAUGCUGUGA